GGAUUAUGUAAAAUAGAUGAAGUUAAAGUAAGACAACAGAUGAUGGGGUAACUCUCCUGAAAUAACAGACCAAUGUGAAAAGACUAAAACAAGGUGUCCCUUUAAGCAACAGCUUGAGAGCAAAUUCAGUUCUCAGAAUCAACCAUUAAGAACAAUAAUUAAUUUGGUUGUAUCUCUCUGUACAGUGAAUGGAUGAGUCUGAGACUUCACUGAGCAAGCGCUAGAACGUCAAGAACAGUAGACUGGAAAUGGUGCAGAUGCUCACUACCUGGAGAAAAGCAACCCUGAAAAAGCCACUUGUGGGCAGCGCUCUAAGACGAAGCAUGUCAGCGUCCCCCUGCAACACCUUCAAAGAGCAAACAGGAAGAGGGACAGGCUGCUCUUGUGAGAGAGGUCUAAACUGGCCGUUUGCAGGGGGUCACAUGCAAUGAGGCCAAAAGGUGCAAGCAGCCCACUCCUGCUUCACCAGAACCCCGUUUCCCCCUUUCCAUCCUUCCAAUGAGAUGUCUUUGCAAAUUGAACACAUCCACUGAACCCUCCUGAGUAAGGAGACAGACAUGAUGCGCAAUGGCACGUUGACCUUGUUCCAGCCAGAGUUUGGAUUUUUGGACCCCUUGAUGCUACUGGGACACAUCAGCUCGGAGUCCUUAUUACACGGAUGACACCUUUCCUUGUGGCACUGUGAAAGAACCUCGCGGGACCUUGCAGACAAGCAGGGAAAACAGAGGAGCACAGCAAAGCAGGGCCAAAGAGGGCUGGCCUGGU